UGCGUAGGCGGCGUUAUAAGUCAGAGGUGAAAGGCCACCGCUUAACGGUGGGACUGCCUUUGAUACUGUAGUGCUUGAAUAAGGUUGAGGUUAGCGGAAUGUGACAUGUAGCGGUGAAAUGCAUAGAUAUGUCAUAGAACACCAAUUGCGAAGGCAGCUGGCUAGACCUUUAUUGACGCUGAGGCACGAAAGCGUGGGGAGCGAACAGGAUUAGAUACCCUGGUAGUC
rnacentral:rRNA from 1 species